UUUACAGAUAAGCCAUUAGUCCCCUUCGAAGAAAUCGGUUAUUCUGUUUCUUUUGUAGAAGGAGGCACCCAGAAAAUGGAAAAGCUUCCUUGAAAUCAAAGAAUACGAACAGAACUGCAGAACCUUUGGAGGUGAUCUUGCCUGAACCCUUGCUCACUGAAUUGCAGGAAUCCAGAAACAAUUCCAAGAAGCAGUAAUAGCAUCUGGAGCGACCAUUCCUCCAUCUUCUUCGCCUGUGCUCGGAAAACUGCCUUUACAUGUCUCAAACGAUACUAAGCUUCCAACUGAAGGCAUCCUUGAACCACCAGAGCAAUAUAACUUGCCACACUUUAGAUCUCUGGAA